GGUAAUGGCCGGGAUAGCUCAGGUGGAGA
rnacentral:tRNA from 1 species